AUUAUAUUCAUAUAUUUCAGGUUAAAUAUGAAGGCAGUGUGACGUCAUCUUGUACACAAACUCGGUCUGUCUGGGUGGAAUAAUUUCUCUUGGCUGUUGACGAAGACCACCACCACGGAGGACCUGGCUCCUGCUGGGGGUGUAGAGACUCACUUAAAACUCAACUUAUUUAAUUGUGGAUCAAGAUUUAAUUUAUCUCAUGAUUGAGGACGAGACUUUGGAUGAAGACACACCAUGGAGAACCAGAUCAUUGUGUUAACUCAGUAAAGGUUCAUCCAAGUAUGUGGGUGUACUGUAAUCAGGUCCACACUGACACUUGCCUAACCUCCAUCUAAUGUAUGAACAUUUACAAGGUGAAAACAGCACUUUGAAGUGUGUGGGUGAUGUGUAAUGGUAUAUUAACUGGUGUUUGUUUUAAUACAUAGAAUACAAAUCUGUUGAGGAACUGAGCUUCAAAUAUAUACAUGGAACAGAUCUUUAAACCUACCAAACGUGUCCUAACCUAUUGU